UAAUGAUCAAGUUUUCUUGCCUUUUUCUUAAUAAAAAAUAUGAAAGCGAUAAAAAAAAAAUACAAUUUGGUUUUCGUAGAAAGUAUAAUACUGGACUUACCUGAUAAUAUAUCAAGUUUUGAAAAUUUCUCAAGCUGUCUUGUAAAUGUGUUGUCCGUACAGAAGGAAUAAAAUAGAGAAGUCGGUUUAAACUGAACUGAACGCAAUUUUGGCGGGUGAUCGAACGAGCGAGCGAAGCGAAGUGAAGUUCUUACAUUCAACUUGGAACACACCGCUGGCUAGGGGCACGUCCCGGCAUUUCGAUGUUUUUAAGCUGAGCUAUCAGAGGAUAGUUUGAUACACAAUAACUUAAGUAAAUUUGUUCUAAUUUAAAUGAAAUUGGGUAAACGUGUAGUUGAGGGCAUUGUAUUUUAGUCAUUAAAUUAUGAGCAGGCUCGAUCAAGGUGUUAUUGAGUUAGAAGAGCUUAAAAGGCUAGAAAGCUAUUUGUGAGGGGUCUUGCUUUUCUGGUCAUCUUAUUUGCAAGAAAGUAUGGUCGAGUUUGGUAUCAAAUGAAAGUGCUCGGCUUUUAUAAUAUUGUUUUUAAGUUUACCAUUUUUAAAUAAUUAACAAGAUAAAAAUAAACAUAAUAUAGGUAUUUGACAUUUGACAAGAAAGAUAACGGCUUACCACAGAUACAGUUUAUUUUAAUCUCUAUGGUGUUGUGAUGGGCUCCGCAGACCUUGCAAUAAAUCACAUGCGGUUUUCGAUCCUUUGCCGACUAAGUAGUAGGUUCAUUAAAUUGAUCUAACUUUUUGGCGAACCGCGAGUUCUCAGUUCGGGGCGAACUAUUAGUUUAAAUCAAACUUACUAAACAUUUUAACCAUGAGAUAACGGAGAUGGUACACGCGUCUUGGGUGAGAGGCCAUUGUGUGCGUGCAGCCAAGUAUCUUUCAAACGGAUAAACUAAUUUCAUCGCUGUUUUCUGUGAUCCUAGCUAACAUUUUGAAGUAAUGAUUAAAAUGGCAAAUAGAUCUGGAUCAAGGUAUCAAUGAAAUCAAAUAAGAAAAUCUAUUAGUGGGAACACUAAACUUUUAGGGAAUACUAAACGUUUAAGUAAAGAAUAUGUGCGCAGAUAAUGUUCAUAAAAUCAGUUAAAUAUGGAAAACCAUUUAUUUUCGAGAACUCAAUACAAGAUGUGUUUCAACUGAGGGGAAUCUCUGUGGUGAGGUUCAUUUAAAAGCUAGUUUGUAUUGUAUCUUUAUGGUGAUAUUAUUUUCACGCUGUUUGGAUUAUGGUGAUAUUAUUUUCACGCUGUUGCAUUUUAAGUCUCUUAAUGAAUUGUUCGAAAUGUAUCUCUACCCCAUUUCCGUUGAAAUAUGGCCUGAUUGAAUAUCGUGAUGCUACUGAUGCUGAAAUUGUUCAUUCACAACAAUGAUCUAUGUGCGUGUUAUUGAAAGAGUUGAGUUGAGUUGCCUGUCAGUAUCCAAAAGUUAUGGAGGAACUUACUUUGGUCAGGUAGGCCGAGCAAUGAGCUUAGAUACCUCAGAUUGUUGUAUUCUGUCCGCAGAUGUAUGCAGUGAUGCAUACAAUGUCAGGAUGCCGUGGUGGUGCAGAUGAUCUGCGCUCUACAGUCUCUUUUGGGAGAAGAAGAUCUCAUCUUUGCUCUAGUCUACCAGUGAAAAUCAUAAAGGGGGAUUGAUAACGUACGGAGGGACCCGUACAAUGUCAGGUUGGCCGUGUCGGAGAAUGGCUGAAAUGUGCCAUCUAUCGCCUUCAAGAGGCGUUUUGUCAUGCAAACCUUGACAAAUAGAGCAAACUAGGGUGUUACGUACACUUGAGUGGCGUUCGACGCAGUUCCGCCAAGACGUCAUAGAGUGCGCUCUUAAAACAAUUGAAGUCCAGAACAAUUGAAGUUAUGCUGUCAAUCAAUCUUCAGAAGGAGCACGAUGAGAACGAACGGGGGAAGAUGACGUCUGUGGCGGCUCCUGGGUCUAAUCCACUGGUUUGCUUAAGAUAAGAAACGUAACGCGUGCUGUGAUUUGUAAUGAGUCUUGUGCAGUAAAGAUUGUGAGUUGAA